UCGUUCUGCUGAUGCUCAAACCACGCGAUCGAGGAAUAAGUGAAGUAACAUUUACGUCAAUUUGAUUUCUACAUAAAAGCAAUAUUUCAAACCUAUUGGAUUGCUGAAGCUCGCCACCAAAGAUUAACAAUUAGGUAAUGUUAGUCAGCUCAGGAAUACCAACUUUUGUGGAGUGCUUAAUACGUCUAUUGUUGUUUCUAGUCCUCUUUUAGAGAACGGCUGCCAACUGACUAUCUGUUAUCAAUGAUGAGGUAUUGGUAAUCAGUACGGGCUGCCAACUGUUGUGAACAAGUCACUUGUUCAUCAAGUCUUUUGCUGUUGCUGGUCCACUUUGAGAGAACGGCUGCCAACUCACUAUCUGUUUUCAAUGAGGUAUUGGUAUUAAUCAGCACGGGCUACCAACUCUUGUGAAGUAUUCUCCCAUGAAGUUCAUAACUGUAUUGUCAUUGUUUUCACACAAAUGCAAUACGGACGGGAACGAAUUCAUCAGCAAUCAAAAGGAAGCAGGGAAAACACAAGCAGAACACAAGAAUCACGACGGCUUGGAUCAAAGUGAAUAGCCCCCCUCCAUCACUCUUCUAGUUGCUUCCAAGCUAGCAUUUCAGAAGAUCUCGUACGGUACUGUCACGCCUUUUGUAAUUUUGUUUGUUGGGCCGGAAUUCGUAGAGAAACGUUGGGUUAUUACUACACUUUAAAGUCCUUAAUCAUACCCCCAUGGAUAAGUGAAAAGUGAAAGACACAGCACAGCAAUCUUUAAAUUUAUAAUUUUAACUUUCAUUCAAAUUGUAAGCGUUUUUUCAUCAGCGUGUUAAUAAACAUUUCAAAAGGA